AGUGAACGCUGGCGGUAGACCUAACACAUGCAAGUCGAGCGGCAGCACAGUAAGAGCUUGCUCUUACGGGUGGCGAGUGGCGGACGGGUGAGGAAUACAUCGGAAUCUACUUUUUCGUGGGGGAUAACGUAGGGAAACUUACGCUAAUACCGCAUACGACCUACGGGUGAAAGCAGGGGAUCUUCGGACCUUGCGCGAUUGAAUGAGCCGAUGUCGGAUUAGCUAGUUGGCGGGGUAAAGGCCCACCAAGGCGACGAUCCGUAGCUGGUCUGAGAGGAUGAUCAGCCACACUGGAACUGAGACACGGUCCAGACUCCUACGGGAGGCAGCAGUAGGGAAUAUUGGACAAUGGGCGCAAGCCUGAUCCAGCCAUACCGCGUGGGUGAAGAAGGCCUUCGGGUUGUAAAGCCCUUUUGUUGGGAAAGAAAAGCAGCAGGUUAAUACCCCGCUGUUCUGACGGUACCCAAAGAAUAAGCACCGGCUAACUUCGUG
rnacentral:rRNA from 1 species